UACGUAGGGUGCAAGCGUUGUCCGGAAUUAUUGGGCGUAAAGAGCUCGUAGGCGGUUUGUCGCGUCUGCUGUGAAAUCCGGAGGCUCAACCUCCGGCCUGCAGUGGGUACGGGCAGACUAGAGUGCGGUAGGGGAGAAUGGAAUUCCUGGUGUAGCGGUGGAAUGCGCAGAUAUCAGGAGGAACACCGAUGGCGAAGGCAGUUCUCUGGGCCGUAACUGACGCUGAGGAGCGAAAGCGUGGGGAGCGAACAGG
rnacentral:rRNA from 1 species